rnacentral:lncRNA from 1 species
GAAAAAGUUGAUCUGAAUAAGAUGAUAGAUGAAGUGAAAGCUGUUACAGAUGAUGAUAAGAUCUAUCAAAACAGGUUGAUAGAAGGUGUGAAGUCUCUUAAAGGUGAGUGAGAUGGAGCUAUCUUGCUUGCAGUUACAGAUA